GAUGAACGCUAGCGGCAGGCUUAAUACAUGCAAGUCGAGGGGUAGCAAGAUUGUAGCAAUACAAUUGUUGACGACCGGCAAACGGGUGCGGAACACGUACACAACCUUCCUACAAGUGGGGAAUAGCCCAGAGAAAUUUGGAUUAAUACCCCGUAACAUAGCGAUGUGGCAUCACAUUGCUAUUAUAACUUCGGCGCUUGUUGAUGGGUGUGCGGCUGACUAGAUAGUUGGCGGGGUAACGGCCCACCAAGUCUACGAUCAGUAGCUGAUGUGAGAGCAUGAUCAGCCACACGGGCACUGAGACACGGGCCCGACUCCUACGGGAGGCAGCAGUAAGGAAUAUUGGACAAUGGACGCAAGUCUGAUCCAGCCAUGCCGCGUGAAGGAUUAAGGUCCUCUGGAUUGUAAACUUCUUUUAUAAGGGACGAAAAAAGGUCUUUCUAGAUCGUCUGACGGUACCUUAUGAAUAAGCACCGGCUAACUCCGUGCCAGCAGCCGCGGUAAGAC
rnacentral:rRNA from 1 species